GCUGCAAUCCUUGACGGGCCGAUCGACGUUGGUUUUGGAGGAGGAGCGAAGAACUGAUGGAAGAGACGCCCGCAAGUGGGAUCCGCAAUAUUUUUGGGGACUCGGAGGAGUUCAUCCUGAUCGAAAGAAAGUCAUCAGACUACUGGGAGAGCUCGGCGAGAAAUAGUUCAGGUCACCAUUUCGAGUUCACCUCUCAUUCAAUACUUAAGGACUGUCGUCAAGACGCACUAGCACCUCCGCAAGAACCCAGAGAGCGGCGAAAAAUUAAAAUCGUCAAACUCAGGCACCUGCACAUGUUACCGGCGCGUGAUGAGGAGACGGAAGCCUUGGCAGCGGGA